GCCAUGAUAUAUAGCCAAAAUGUAUUAACCAUUCAAAAUACAUCUCAAUAAUACCAUUCGUUUACAGUUUCAAAUUAUUACAUCCACGAAAUAUAUACCAAAAUAUAUCCAUAUAUGCAUCUCAAAUUCACUUUUCAAUAUAAAUUACUACUAUAUUGAAUUGUGAAUUUGAUUACAUGCAUCCACAAAAUAAACCAAACUAUCCAUAAAAUUAAGCUACUACCUAAGCAUGUGCAAAAAAGCCUAGUUCUCCCAAAAUACGUACAUUCAUCUAACAUAUUCACCGUUAACUCGAGGCUCUACAUAUAGCUGCUCACGUACGUUGCUCACUCAUCCCGUACUUCGUUAAUUUAUUCUUGUGUGUACGUUAAUCCACAUGCCUUAUCCCACUGAAAUAAAAGAACAACAAAUUUAGUAUUCAACAAAGAUACCAAAUCACAAGGAUACCAAAUCUGACCUGCUAUACUGAUGUAUGGCAAGAUAACUGACCAAUCACAGGAAUGACUUUUAACAUAAUUCCUAACCACGUAAAAUGUUAACACAUAUUUGAGGAGCAAGCUGGUGUACUGAUGUGAAAUAUGUUAAGUUGUACAGGAAAUAUGAAAUAUAACAUAUAUUAACA
rnacentral:lncRNA from 1 species